UACGAAGGGGGCUAGCGUUGCUCGGAAUGACUGGGCGUAAAGGGCGCGUAGGCGGCUGGCACAGUCAGAUGUGAAAUUCCCGGGCUUAACCUGGGGGCUGCAUUUGAUACGUGUUGUCUUGAGUUCGGAAGAGGGUCGUGGAAUUCCCAGUGUAGAGGUGAAAUGCGCAGAUAUCGGGAAGAACACCCGUGGCGAAGGCGGCUCUCUGGGACGGUACUGACGCUGAGACGCGAAAGCGUGGGGAGCGAACAGG
rnacentral:rRNA from 1 species